GGAAUUGACGGGGACCCGCACAAGCGGUGAUGAUGUGGUUAAUUCGAUGCAACGCGAAAACCUUACCCACCUUUGACAUGUACGGAAUCCUUUAGAGAUAGAGGAGUGCUCGAAAGAGAGCCGUAACACAGGUGCUGCAUGGCUGUCGUCAGCUCGUGUCGUGAGAUGUUGGGUUAGGUCCCGCAACGAGCGCAACCCUUGUCAUUAGUUGCUACAUUCAGUUGGGCACUCUAAUGAGACUGCCGGUGACAAACCGGAGGAAGGUGGGGAUGACGUCAAGUCCUCAUGGCCCUUAUAGGUGGGGCUACACACGUCAUACAAUGGAUGGUACAAAGGGUCGCCAACCCGCGAGGGGGAGCCAAUCCCAUAAAGCCAUUCGUAGUCCGGAUCGCAGUCUGCAACUCGACUGCGUGAAGUCGGAAUCGCUAGUAAUCGUGGAUCAGAAUGUCACGGUGAAUACGUUCCCGGGUCUU
rnacentral:rRNA from 1 species